UACGUAGGGUGCGAGCGUUGUCCGGAAUUACUGGGCGUAAAGAGCUUGUAGGUGGUUUGUCGCGUUGUUCGUGAAAACUCACAGCUUAACUGUGGGCGUGCGGGCGAUACGGGCAGACUGGAGUACUGCAGGGGAGACUGGAAUUCCUGGUGUAGCGGUGGAAUGCGCAGAUAUCAGGAGGAACACCGGUGGCGAAGGCGGGUCUCUGGGCCGAUACUGACGCUGAGGAGCGAAAGCGUGGGGAGCGAACAGG
rnacentral:rRNA from 1 species